rnacentral:rRNA from 1 species
GACCUCAAAUCGGGUGGGACUACCCGCUGAACUUAAGCAUAUCAAUAAGCGGAGGAAAAGAAACUAACAAGGAUUCCCCUAGUAACGGCGAGUGAAGAGGGAAAAGCUCAAAUUUUGAAUCUGGUGCCUUUGACUCCCGAGUUGUAAUCUAGAGAAGUGUUUUCCGUGUCGGACCGUGCACAAGUUCCCUGGAACGGGGCGUCAUAGAGGGUGAGAAUCCCGUAUAUGGCACGGACUGCCGAUGCUUUGUGAUACACUCUCAACGAGUCGAGUUGUUUGGGAAUGCAGCUCAAAAUGGGUGGUAAAUUCCAUCUAAAGCUAAAUAUUGGCGAGAGACCGAUAGCGAACAAGUACCGUGAGGGAAAGAUGAAAAGCACUUUGGAAAGAGAGUGAAACAGUACGUGAAAUUGUUGAAAGGGAAGCGUUUGAAGUCAG